UACGGAGGAGGCAAGCGUUAUCCGGAAUUACUGGGCGUAAAGCGUGCGCAGGCGGUUUUGUAAGUCAGAUGUGAAAUCCCCGGGCUUAACCUGGGAACUGCGUUUGAAACUACAAGGCUAGAGUGUGGCAGAGGGGGGUGGAAUUCCACGUGUAGCAGUGAAAUGCGUAGAGAUGUGGAGGAACACCGAUGGCGAAGGCAGCCCCCUGGGUUAACACUGACGCUCAGGCACGAAAGCGUGGGGAGCAAACAGG
rnacentral:rRNA from 1 species